GACGAACGCUGGCGGCGUGCUUAACACAUGCAAGUCGAACGGAAAGGCCCCUUUGGGGGUACUCGAGUGGCGAACGGGUGAGUAACACGUGAGUAACCUGCCCUUGACUUCGGGAUAACUUCAGGAAACUGGGGCUAAUACCGGAUAGGAAUCCUUGCCGCAUGGUGGGGGUUGGAAAGCUUCGGCGGUUUUGGAUGGACUCGCGGCUUAUCAGCUUGUUGGUGGGGUAGUGGCUUACCAAGGCUUUGACGGGUAGCCGGCCUGAGAGGGCGACCGGCCACAUUGGGACUGAGAUACGGCCCAGACUCCUACGGGGGGCAGCAGUGGGGAAUAUUGCACAAUGGGCGGAAGCCUGAUGCAGCAACGCCGCGUGCGGGAUGACGGCCUUCGGGUUGUAAACCGCUUUCAGCAGGGGCGAAGCUUGUGGUGACGGUACCUGCAGAAGAAGCACCGGCUAACUACGUG
rnacentral:rRNA from 1 species